ACUCAAAGGAAUUGACGGGGGCCCGCACAAGCAGCGGAGCAUGUGGUUUAAUUCGAAGCAACGCGAAGAACCUUACCAAGGCUUGACAUCCCCUGGAUGCGCCGUAAUGGGCGCCGGCCCGCAAGGGACAGGGAGACAGGUGGUGCAUGGUUGUCGUCAGCUCGUGUCGUGAGAUGUUGGGUUAAGUCCCGCAACGAGCGCAACCCUUGCCGAUAGUUACCAGUAUUAAGUUAGGGACUCUAUCGGGACUGCCGUGGACAACACGGAGGAAGGUGGGGACGACGUCAAAUCAUCAUGCCCCUUAUGUCUUGGGCUACACACGUGCUACAAUGGCCGCAACAGAGGGCAGCGAAGCAGCAAUGCGGAGCGAAUCUCAAAAAAGCGGUCUCAGUUCAGAUUGUGGGCUGCAACCCGCCCACAUGAAGACGGAGUUGCUAGUAAUCGCGAAUCAGCAUGUCGCGGUGAAUGCGUUCCCGGGCCUUGUACACACCGCCCGU
rnacentral:rRNA from 1 species